UAGGGAAUCUUCCACAAUGGACGCAAGUCUGAUGGAGCAACGCCGCGUGAGUGAAGAAGGUUUUCGGAUCGUAAAGCUCUGUUGUUGGUGAAGAAGGAUAGAGGUAGUAACUGGCCUUUAUUUGACGGUAAUCAACCAGAAAGUCACGGCUAACUACGUG
rnacentral:rRNA from 2 species